rnacentral:pre_miRNA from 1 species
UUCCGGCCGCCUGACACUUUCGUCUCAACCUCGCUUCAGAUGGCCGUAGGUGAGCAAAGUUUCAGGUGUGCCGGAAC